rnacentral:rRNA from 1 species
AUUGAACGCUGGCGGCAUGCCUUACACAUGCAAGUCGAACGGUAACAGGUCUUCGGAUGCUGACGAGUGGCGAACGGGUGAGUAAUACAUCGGAACGUGCCCAGACGUGGGGGAUAACGAGGCGAAAGCUUUGCUAAUACCGCAUACGAUCUAAGGAUGAAAGCAGGGGACCGCAAGGCCUUGCGCGUUUGGAGCGGCCGAUGGCAGAUUAGGUAGUUGGUGGGAUAAAAGCUUACCAAGCCGACGAUCUGUAGCUGGUCUGAGAGGACGACCAGCCACACUGGGACUGAGACACGGCCCAGACUCCUACGGGAGGCAGCAGUGGGGAAUUUUGGACAAUGGGCGAAAGCCUGAUCCAGCAAUGCCGCGUGCAGGAUGAAGGCCUUCGGGUUGUAAACUGCUUUUGUACGGAACGAAAAGGCUCUGGCUAAUACCUGGGGCACAUGACGGUACCGUAAGAAUAAGCACCGGCUAACUACGUGCCAGCAGCCGCGGUAAUACGUAGGGUGCGAGCGUUAAUCGGAAUUACUGGGCGUAAAGCGUGCGCAGGCGGUUUUGUAAGACAGAGGUGAAAUCCCCGGGCUCAACCUGGGAACUGCCUUUGUGACUGCAAGGCUGGAGUGCGGCAGAGGGGGAUGGAAUUCCGCGUGUAGCAGUGAAAUGCGUAGAUAUGCGGAGGAACACCGAUGGCGAAGGCAAUCCCCUGGGCCUGCACUGACGCUCAUGCACGAAAGCGUGCGGAGCAAACAGGAUUAGAUACCCUGGUAGUCCACGCCCUAAACGAUGUCAACUGGUUGUUGGGUCUUAACUGACUCAGUAACGAAGCUAACGCGCGAAGUUGACCGCCUGGGGAGUACAGCCGCAAGGUUGAAACUCAA